rnacentral:lncRNA from 12 species
GUCAGUUUUGUUUCAUUGAGAUUACUUUCACCUGCAGGUAUCAUUAAGUUUUGUGAACUUUCACACCCACAUCUUAACACAUAUACUAUUUCACCUCUUCCUCAGGAAACAGAAAGGGUGAAAGAUGACUUGAAGAACUUCACCCCCUGCCUGUGUCUUUUGUCUGUGCUCUGUGGCAGCUGGAGUGAUUACACCUUCACUGUGUUUACAGUCACGACAAGAUUGACUUGCCACAUGCUUGCGGCAAUAUGGAGCUCUGGGCCAGUAGAGGGGGACAGUACUACUUUUGUUGUAAGUCUGGACACAAACUUUCUCUCUCUCUCUCUCUCUCUCUCUCUCUCUCUCUUCUCUCUCUCUCUCUCUCUCUCUCUCUCUCUCUCUCUCUCUCUCUCUCUCUCUCUCUCUCACACACACACACACACACACACACACACACACUUGUGGUAGACAGCAAUUCAUAAUUUUAGAGCAUUUCCAUACACUAUAACUUAUUUUUUGCAUGGGUUAACAAUAUAUUAACAGGCAUUGUUGCAAAAUAUCACUGUUGAGUCAUGUGCAUUUAUGUUCACAUUUCAUAGACAUGACCUCAGACAGAGCUUGUGGGCUCGGCACUGCAGAGAUCUUCUGGGUCCCUCCGUAAUUACCCAGCGAUAUGCUAUCAAGGCCUGCCAGAGGUGGUGGGUUUACAGAUGAUGGGGAAAAGCACUAAGGAUCAUAGUCGGUCUCGGCAUGUUCACUUGGCUGCCAUCCAACCAGAGGACAGGUUUGCUCUUGUGCAAGAGUAGAAAAGACACACUUUCAAAUGAAAUCAAAACCAGAAGCGGCUUCAUCCAGUUUGUCUUUUUAACUCUCGCCGACUGACCAAGCCGGUUUAAUGCUCCAAAUGCAGUCCAAACAGUGUGGAGUUUUCUCCGUGGUCUGCUGACUAUUGUUUUAGUGAAG